rnacentral:rRNA from 1 species
UACAGAGGUCCCAAGCGUUGUUCGGAUUCACUGGGCGUAAAGGGUGCGUAGGUGGUGAGGUAAGUCGGAUGUGAAAUCUCCAGGCUCAACCUGGAGAUGGCAUUGGAAACUACCUUGCUAGAGGGUUUGAGGGGGGACUGGAAUACUUGGUGUAGCAGUGAAAUGCGUAGAUAUCAGGAGGAACACCGGUGGCGAAGGCGGGUCUCUGGGCCGAUACUGACGCUGAGGAGCGAAAGCGUGGGGAGCGAACAGG